rnacentral:lncRNA from 1 species
CGGCAUUUAUCCGUUGAAUGACCUGUAAGUUUACAACGUGAGCAAAAAAGGGGCAUAGAUUCAAAACUAAACUCAAUGUAGAACGAUCUAUCGCCGUCAUCAAUGUACAUCGAGUUGAGAAUAGGCAAAGCCAUGUCAAGUUCCACCAGAACCCGCGCAAAGUGUCCCACAUGACCAGUUGCGGAGGCAUUAUCAAUUCGCAGAGGAUUACCAAGCACACGACCUAUACCAGCAAUAAUCACCGGAGUCCAUAACUCCACAGGGAGAUAAUAUAUCCGAACCCAGACCUGAGCCAGAGAC